rnacentral:lncRNA from 1 species
AGUGCAACUUUUGUUUAAAAAGUGUAACUUUCAUCUUAAUGGAUGCAGUUUACAUCUAAAAGAGUGUAAUAAGAAGAGAAACAGUGUAAAUAUUUCUCAAAGAGUGUAGUUUUCAUCUUAAAGCUGCAGUUUACAUUUUAAAUAGUGCAACUUAUAAUUUUUUUUGCAGUUAACGAUACAAUUUGAUGUUCAUCCUUCUUUUUAUAUAAUUUUUUAUCUUUAUUUUUUUUUUCUGUUUUUUCUAUAAUUUUUUUUUGUCACCUUCUCUGUCAACAGCCACGGUGCCGGCGACGACAACAGCCAAAAUCCCUUGCUAUUCCAGGAUAAUCGAGAAUAGUAAAAUUUGAUCGGAAUAAAAUAUCCCGAUAAUAAAUCUUUCCGUUUGGCGGAAUAGCGGGGAUAAUUUUCAUUAU